AGGCCGCAGCCGCCGCCUGUCGGCCCGGCCCGGGUCCCAGCUGCUCCUGCGGCGCUCCCACGCCCCCGCGGGCGGGCGGCGGGGCCGGGAGGGGGCCUCGGCUGGGGCGGGCGCCGGGAGGGACCGAGUCGGGGCCGGAGGCUGGCCGCGUGCCCACCGGGCCGGCGCCGGGGCGAGCCUGGGCCGCGGCCCCCUCUUCCCGCCAGCCAGCCCACCCCGCCCCGGCGGCCUCUGGGAAAACGCGUCCCGGGCGAGCCCCUGAGGGCAGGAUCGGAGUCGGGGGCACCUGGGGAAGGAGAGCGCCCCGUGGGGCCUCGGCCGGUGGCCUGUGCCAAAAGGCCGGGCAGAGCUGCUUCGGUGUCUGGGUGAAGUUUCCAGCCAACCCAAGAAGGAAACCGAAAGGGAAGAGGCCGAGAGAGAGGUUAAUUCCUAGUGCUUUGGUUACCGAAAACAGCCCGGCUGGGACUGCUGGGCUGGGAACUUAGCUAAGCAGUGCGGAGGCUGAACCCCACCAUCUCUGGGAUCCGCAGCAAAUCAGAAGCCCCCACCCACGAUAAGGGGAAAAUGGGGCGCAGAGGGCAGGGAGGAAGGGAAGAGAAUGGAAGGAAAGCGCGUCUGGACUUUGAACUGCAGCCCUCUCCCUCUUUCCCUUGCCUCGGAAGCUCCAGGCCCACUCAGCACCAGUUCUGUCUCCUCUUUUCAGCCGCCUUCUCUCUAGCUACUGAGGGGAAAAGUCAGGAUGAAGCGGGUCCCUCGGCCUCCAGAAGGUGUUUUAUUACAGUCGCAAACAGGUAGAGCGGCAGCCACCCCAGUGAUGACUCCCUGCUCCUUAGAUUGUAGGGACGCUGGCACCUCACUCAUGCUCCUAAGUGGCCAUUUUGCGCCCUGGCUGGGCGAGUUAGGCAGACAAAAUGAGCCCCCAAAAGUUUAAAGGCCUCCACCAAAGGAGUAUUUCUUUUCUGAGGUGUCAUUGUAUUCCAUCCACGAACUUCAGUUCCCCCGGGUGCUCUGGAUCUGACAUGGAGUAGGAUGCUAACAUCUAAUCCCUUCUUUCCCUUUGGAAAGAUGCAUGUUUUUUCUCGGAGUCCUAGGGAAUACCUUAGAAUACUUUCAUGGUUGUCAUUGGUACACCCAUCCCUUGAGGAGCCCUGCCACCCGUAAGUAGGACUGCAAGGAAAUACAAAAUUAAGAGAAGUAUGAACCCUGAUACCCAGGAACUUAAAAUCAGGUGUAUAAAUUUUGUACACCUAAAAAAUAUGGUACCUAAAGAGGCGAACAGCAAAACAAGCAAGAAUGUGAAUCUUUAAAAUGUUUCUAUUCUUCAGCGCAGCCCAGGAAUUCUACCUAAAGUAACAUAUCCUAAGGCAACAACCAAGAAGUGUGGAAGAAUGCAUGUAAGAAGACACAGUGAUGUUUAGAAUCCUGGGGAAACGGAACAGCCAAAAAGUCUCACAGAGGUUAAGUAAAUAAUAGCAUUUUCAUACGAGUACUAUGUAGUCAUUUAAAAUUAUGUCUUUCAGUACCUAGUAAUGGGGAAAAUGUAUUCAUUAUAUAUUAUUAAAGAAAAUACAGGGUACAAAACACUGUAUAUAGACUGAUCUCAAAUGACUAUAUAUAUAUUAAUAUAUAUGGCCUACAGACACACAGUCAUGUAUUGCUUAACAAUGGGUAUACAUUCUGAGAAAUGUGUUCUUAGUUGAUUUUGUCACGUGAGCAUCAUAGAGUGUACUUCCAGAAACCUAGAUGGCAUAGCCUACUACACACCUAGGCUAUAUGGUAUGACGUAUUGCACCUGGACCACAAACCUGAACAGCAUGUGACUGAACUCAAUACUGGAGGCAACUAUAACACAAUGGUAAAUAUUUGUGGAUCUAAACAUGUCUAAGCAUAGAAAAGGGACAGUAAAAAUAUUCUUCUAGGGUCAGCAGAGCCAGGGCAAUAACCUGGCACCAAGAUAAAGAGCAAGAAACUAGAUGAAUGGAUGGAAAUGUCUGGAUGCUGAUCUGAGACAUUACCAUGGUAAAUGCUCAGAAAUCACUUUGCAGUGGGCUAAUUGCCAGCAAAUAAGUCACAGCAGAUGGGGGACAAAGGCCCAUAGUACCCUGGGUAUAAAAAAAUAACCGGAAUCCUAGUUUGUGUCCUGAGGCUAGUGAGGCUCAAAACAGGGAGAUUCCGGCAGGAUGUAACUUCUCUGGACACAGUGACUUGCAUCCAUUAGCUGGUCUGUUGCCCCGAACCCUGUUUAUCUUCUCUCCACACUGACCAUUGUUUCAUCCUUUGACAAUGUUCAUACUGUUGAGCACCAUUCUUAUCGAAAGAAGGGAAGGAAGCAACAUGGGAGUUACUGGUUCUCCUUGGCCCUAUGCAGGUAGUACCGAGUAUUCCCCAUGGCAGAAGUAGGUCUCCACCUUAUUUGUUUUUGCACAACAGAGAUGAUGCACAGGGCCUGAGCCCGGGAUCAGAUCCGGUGCAAUUGCCUAUUAUGUUCAUUCAUUCACACCUUUUUUGAAUACCAACUAUUAAUACAUGUCAGAUACCCAGUUCAGUACUGGGCAUAUAAACAUUAGAUCCUCAGGUGCCUCUUAACCCAUCCUAGGGACCUGGUCUCCCAGAAUCCUAACUUUGGAUGAAUACAAUACCAUAAUUGAUUAAACUUAGAGUGGCAAUAGCUAUCAUUUCCACCAAGGAAAGAAAAGGAUCAUCCUCUCACCCUCUUCCUCUUGUCACUUUCCCUCCACCCCCAAUGUAUGAUUACAACAGGUUAUACACUACCGUAAGUCCAGAAGGAGAUUAUGAGAGUCUCCAUAGAGAUGAUGCAUUUUAUGGUCUCCAUGGAGAUACUAACCCAUUGAGUUAUUUACUUUAUCCAUUGAAUUAUUUUUCUUCCCUGGUCCUCUUUGUCUUUUGUGUUCACUUAAGGACAUCAGUCUGGCAAUGAAUUAUGAUCUGAAAUAUAUUCUGGACCACAAAGAAUAUUUCCAUACCCCUAUAUGGAGCCCCUCCAAAUAUAAAGCCCCUAUGUAUUUGCUGCCCCUAAGCUAGUUUGUACGCACUCUCAGCAGAGCUCAGAGAGGAACAGAAAACAAGAAUUCCACAAUCAAUCCCUUCACUUUUCUUUCUAAGUUGAAAAGAUAAACACCCCCAAAUGCUGCUUUAUAAAGAACAGCUAGACAAGUAGAGCAUUAGCAAUUUAAAUUCAGAGAUUAAAGAAAGGGACUUACAUGGUGAACUUUAAAGGGAGAAAUAGGAGUAGCUUGGAUAAGUAACUAACAGAAGGCUUAGACAAAUUUCUACACAUGUUCAGUAGGUGAAGACAAAUUAUCAAGAUCAGUUUAAAGAAGAAUGUCUAGUCAUUGUUGGAUGACACAAUAGCAAGAAAAGGUAUGCCAAAGCCCCAGAAAAAUAUCCCAGCUACAUUGAGGAAUGGUACCAAUAAGGUUUCAUUCUGUGCGUGGAGAGCUCAGAGGGCAGGCUCUUGCAGGGAUAUCACCCUAAGUAGGUUUUCAGUUGCACCCUGCCUUAGUUUGCUAGGGCUGCCGUAACAAAGAACCACCAACUGGAUGGCCAAAACGACAGAAAUUUAUUUCCUCACCAUUCUGGAGGCUGGAAGUCCAAGAUGAAGGUGUCAGCAAGAUUGGUUUCUUCCGAGGCCUCUCUCGGGCUUGUAGCGGCCAGCUUCUCCCUCUGUGUUCUCGUGGUCUUCACUGUGUGUUCCUGUGUCCUAAUUUCCUGUUUUUAUUAUUUAUUUAUUUAUUUAUUUAUUUAUUUAUUUAUUUAUUUUGAGAUGGAGUCUCGCUCUGUUGCCCAGGUUGGAGUGCAGUGGUGAGAUCUCGGCUCCCUGCAACCGCUGUCUCCCAGGUUCAAGCAUUUUUCUUGCCUCAGCCUCCCUGGUAGCUGGGACUACAGGCGAGCGCCACCACACCCGGCUAAUUUUUGUAUUUUUAGUAGAGACGGGGUUUCACCAUGUUGGCCAGGCUGGUCUCGAACUCCUGGCCUCAAGUGAUCUGCCCACUUUGGCCUCCCAGAGUGUGUGAGGCACCACGCCUGGCCCUAAUUCUUUGUUUUUAGAAAGAUACCGGAGUCGUACUGGAUUAAGGCUCAUCCCAAUUACUUCAUUUUUGCUUAGUUACCUUAUUAAAGUUCCUAUCUCCAAAUACAGCCACAUUCUAAGGUACUAGGAAUUAGGACUUCAGCAUAGGAAUUUUGGAGGGACACAAGUCAGCCCGUAACACACCUCCUUUUCUGCAAAUGUGUGUCUGGUCAGCCCCCCUUUAGCUGGGUCUUCCAGGCUCAGCUUCAGGAAUGAGAGCUUCCUUCUCCCUUGCCAAGGCCUGUGGACCUUUCUGCGCACUUCACAUUGCACACUUCUGCUAAUAAGCAUUGCUUCAUAUUUCCUUGGGUGUAGGCCUUAAACUUUAUCUUGCAUAGAAACCAGAACACUAGUCUCCAAUCACUGUACAACUGAGAGCAGAAACAGAGAAUGCAUAGGUGUUUGCUUGAUAAAAUAUUCCUGAUUAAAAGAAAUCAUCUGGAACACGUGACAAAAAUCUGCCAGAAAAGGGUUCAGAAUAUUUUGCAGGCCUAUCCAUACUCAGUUCAGGCAAAAGAUUUAAACAAGAUCCAUCUUUCUCCCCCACUGCCUCCUCCCCUGUGUUGGGAGGUGCAAUUUACCAGGGGAGUUGGGGGUUGAGCCUCCAAGGGGGCUCUUUGUUGCACAUGCUCUCUGCUGCAGUUCUGGGGGCUCACACCAGGGAACAUCAGGCUGUUUAGAAGGACUCACUUGAACGAGCUCACUAGAAAAAUUCUCAUGUGCAAUUUUGCUUGGCAAAGAACCAAUGAACAGGGCUUGUCACCCUCUAAACAGUGGCCACUUGACCCUGCCAAUCUGCUCAUAAAGACUUCAGUAUGCAAAGAUUCAUCAAGAGCUGUGUGUGUAGAUUUCCCUUCCUCUUGAAGCUGGAUUUGCUUUCAGACAUACCCAGAAAGGGCAUACAUGAAAUCAUCCCCAGAAGGAUGAUGUCAUCCAGCCUACAGUCACACAACUGCAGCACUAGUUUUUAAAAGCUCUUGGCCCUGUUUUCUGACAAGGAAGACAAAUUGUAAGAAAUCAUUUUAAUUUUCACUUCAACCAGAUCCAGGGGAUUAUGUGCUUGAAGAUCAUUGUACAAGCACACAAAGGUAAAAUGUGCCUAUGAGUUGCAGAUACUCAUUCCACAAUGCACAAAACUUAAGUCAGCUUAAAAUCAUCACAAAAAUGUUGACCUAUACACUACCCUAUCAUCAAAGCUUCACCUGCAAAAAGGGCAAGCAUGUUGUCUUUUACCUUAAUUUUCCUGCCAUUUUUUAAAUUUGGUUUCCCAAAGAAGCUACGUUGGAGAUACUGUUAGUCAGAAGUCUUUGAAUAACAAAUGACAAAUACUUAGCUCAGACCUCCAUAAGCAAAAAAGGGACAUUUUAGUUCAGCAACAAAAAUCAACACUUGGCUAAAUCAGGCUUGGAUCAAUCCAAGAAGAUGAGUUCAAUGAUAAAAUCAACUCUGUCUUCCUCUGCCUCUCACCUCUUCUCAGCCUCUCCUAGAUGAGAACCUCUCAUCUAGGUUCUCUAGGUAUGGUGUCAAGAGCUGCCCCAUGUGGUCCUUGUAAUCCCAGAGAGAAGAGAGUGACCUUUUCUUACCCAGUGCCCAUAUGCCAAAUGUAGUGGAGGAAUUCACAUCUGUGCAUGUCCAUUCUUGGGACCAAAGGGCAAGAAGGCACAGUAAUGGGAGAGUCCAACCUGAACGGCAUAAUGGAACAAUGGAAUGUGGAAGGGGCAGUUCCCCCACGCAAAGAAGAUUCCUGGCCUAAUACAUUCCACUUCUUGGCUGCCCAGACAUGCAUGCACACAUACGCACGCACACACACGUUCUCUUUUUCCAUAUGUAGAACUUCUUGUGUGUACUCCCCUCCCCAAAUAAUACAGCCAGUCCAUGAGUAACCAUUUAUACACUCACCUCUUCCCCACAGCGAGUCAACCCUACUGCCUUCUACUGAGGCCAUUUGUUUCCUGGUCCAGGGGCUCUGGACAAUCUGGUUUUCUCUUUUUCAAGCUGAGAUAUGGCUCUUCACAGGCCAGCAAUCUCUAAUUGGUAAAUGUGAUCACCCUUCAUGUGUUUAAUAUAUUAUGGAGGAGGAUAUGUUUGAAAACUACCUUAAAAACUCUCAUUUG
rnacentral:lncRNA from 1 species